rnacentral:rRNA from 1 species
GAUGAACGCUGGCGGCGUGCCUAAUACAUGCAAGUCGAGCGAACGGACGAGAAGCUUGCUUCUCUGAUGUUAGCGGCGGACAGGUGAGUAACACGUGGAUAACCUACCUAUAAGACUGGGAUAACUUCGGGAAACCGGAGCUAAUACCGGAUAAUAUUUUGAACCGCAUGGUUCAAAAGUGAAAGACGGUCUUGCUGUCACUUAUAGAUGGAUCCGCGCUGCAUUAGCUAGUUGGUAAGGUAACGGCUUACCAAGGCAACGAUGGAUAGCCGACCUGAGAGGGUGAUCGGCCACACUGGAACUAAGACACGGUCCAGACUCCUACGGGAGGCAGCAGUAGGGAAUCUUCCGCAAUGGGCGAAAGCCUGACGGAGCAACGCCGCGUGAGUGAUGAAGGUCUUCGGAUCGUAAAACUCUGUUAUUAGGGAGGAACAUAUGUGUAAGUAACUGUGCACAUCUUGACGGUACCUAAUCAGAAAGCCACGGCUAACUACGUG